rnacentral:rRNA from 1 species
CCUACGGGUGGCAGCAGUGGGGGAUAUUGCACAAUGGGGGGAACCCUGAUGCAGCGACGCCGCGUGGGUGAAGGAGCGUUUCGGCGCGUAAAGCCCUAUCGGCAGGGAAGAAGAUGACGGUACCUGACCAAGAAGCCCCGGCUAACUACGUGCCAGCAGCCGCGGUAAUACGUAGGGGGCAAGCGUUAUCCGGAUUUACUGGGCGUAAAGGGGGCGGAGGCGGCAGUGCAAGGCAGGAGGGAAAGGCCGGGGCCCAACCCCGGGACUGCAUGUGGAACUGGCUGGGUGGAGGACAGGAGAGGUAGGCGGAAUUCCUAGUGUAGCGGUGAAAUGCGUAGAUAUGAGGAGGAA